rnacentral:rRNA from 1 species
UACGAAGGGGGCUAGCGUUGCUCGGAAUUACUGGGCGUAAGGGGCGCGUAGGCGGACAGUUAAGUCAGAGGUGAAAGCCCAGGGCUCAACCCUGGAAUUGCCUUUGAUACUGGCUGUCUUGAGUGCGGGAGAGGUGUGUGGAACUCCGAGUGUAGAGGUGAAAUUCGUAGAUAUUCGGAAGAACACCAGUGGCGAAGGCGACACACUGGCCCGUAACUGACGCUGAGGCGCGAAAGCGUGGGGAGCAAACAGG